rnacentral:lncRNA from 1 species
AUUUAAGAAGAGGAAAAAGGAAGUGUCGCUCUCUUCCCCUCGGCUCCUGCUCCAGCAGCAUGAUGUGAUUCACCAGCAAGGAGGGACGCCAAUAAGACGUCCGAUAAGAUAAGUCCCAUAAAAUAUAUAGAUGUAUGGUAAUUGAGACUGAGCUAACAAAUGAGAAUCCUAGUCAUUGGCCAAGCAGCUUUGUAACUAAUACAAGUCUCUCUGUGUAUUCAUUUGGGCCUAACUCGGGUGGGCGGCUGGCGUAAAGCUCGCACGUGGCGGUGGGGCUCAGGCAGCUUUUGGCAAAAAGAUUUAUCGUAACAGACACCCUCAGGAAGAAUAACUUUAAAGGAACAGGGAACAUGCAUGUCAUCCUAGCAUGCAAGUGGCUGAGGCACAAGGAUGCAAAUUUUAGACCAGCUGGGACUAUACUAUGUAGUAAAGGAGUUCUAGGAUAUACUGGAUAACAGAACAAAACCUUGUCAAGAAUAAAAGAGAGGGUGAAGGGUGGCAAGACAUGAAGAGAAGAUAAAAAUGAACUUGUAUGUUCAUACUUCCCUUUGCUAUUCUUUCAUUGUAGCCUCUUUUUGUUCAGACUUGUUACAUCAAAUAAUUUAUACACAUCUUUCCAUUCUCUUUCAUUUAGGUUGUACUAUAGGAGACAUUUCGCAUUUCAUUGAGAAUUCUCAUCACAUAGUUUAAAAUGCUCUUUGAAUGCUCUAGUGACUUUCUUACUCUGUAGCAUUCCUAGACAUAUUGCCUUACAUGGACAUUUAUCUGUAUGGAAAGUGUUAGGUAGUCUAGCUUUUAUCAUAAACACUAUCCACAUGUCCAUGACUUUGACAGUUAUGGUGUUUAUCAUUUAUAUAAAAUCUAUAGCAGGAUUAAUAUACUCCCUAAGGCUGGUGUCUUGUGUAGGAUGACUUGGCAGUCUUGACAGCUGGAAUCACUGGGCACUUUUUUCUCAUGCAUGACUACUUUGACAAAGUGAAUUUCCUAUGGCAUUGAUGGAAACCAGUCAAUUAAUCAUAUAUAACUGUAAAAGCUUGCAGAAUGGGACACUGUUGACAAAGAGUCUCAAAUUGCCCACAUAUGCAUAGUUCAUCAUUGUACUUUUAAACUUCACAAAUCAAUCUCUGUGAUUUGUAUAAAUUACUUCAUAUAUCUUUUCAGUGAUAUUUUGUAGAGUAAUGAAUUUCAUGUGGAAAAACAAACAAACAGAAAACAGAAUAGCUAAAGCAGUCCUGUGCAAUAAAAGAACUCCUGGAGGUAUCACCAUCCCUGAUGUUAAGUUCAACUACAGAGCCAUAGUUAUAAAAACUGCAUGAUAUGGUGAGAAAAAGACAGGGGAUCAAUGGAAUCAAAUAAAAAAACCCAGAUGUAAAUCCAAACAACUAUGGACACCUGAUUUUUGACAAAGAAGCCAAAAUUAUACAACAGAAAUAAGAUAGCACCUUAAACAAAUGCUACUGGUAUGACUGGAUGUUGGCACAUAGAGAAAUGCCAAUAGAUCCACAUCUAUCACCCUGCAUAGUACUCACGUCCAAGUGGAUAAAAGACCUCAACAUAAAUCCAGAUACAAUGAACCUUAUAGAAAAGAGAGUAAGAAAUAGCCUUGAAUGCAUUGGCACUGGAGACAACUUCCUGAACAGGACACCAACAGCACAGACAACAUUCAGAUCAAUAAUUAAUUAAUUGGACCAAAUACAACAGAAAAGCUUCUGUAAGAGCAAGGAUACUCACUGUCAAUAAGAUAUAAUGGCAGCCUAUAAAACGGGAAAAAAUUUCACAAACCCCACAUCUGAACAGAGGGCUGAUUUCCAAAAUAUAUAAAGAACUAAAGAAACUAGACAUAAGAAAAAAAGCAAAAACAAAAACAAAUGAGCCUCAUUGUUUGUUUGAGAAUAAAAAGCUCAUGUGGUGAACUUGGCAAAUGAAACAUGUUACUACUCUGUUUUUCUUGUUCUUGUACUCUUUGUGUUACUGUUACAUUUGGCCUGAUGUAGAGGAAAUUGUUGAUUCUUCCAGUAAAAUCCCUUUUUGAGCCCUCAAUUUUCUCAUAGAUUUCAAAAUAAAAAUCUAAAAAUCUCUGGUACUAUUGAUAACUGCAAUGCCUUCAUUCACAUAUUUCAAAUAUACUAUUUUAAAUAUUUUAAUAUAUAAUUAUUAAUUAUUAAAUCUUAUGUAUUGGAAAUAUGCUGUCAUGUUCUGAUUAUAUGCAAAACAUUGUAUGGAACUGAAUAAUAUAGUUGGGAAGCAAAAUACAGGGUGAAAGUUUUCAAAAUGGAAGUCAGAGAGGCAUGUUUGGUGACAACUGUGAAAACAUUUCUUUAGCAGAGGUGACACAAUCUCCUCCCUCCCUC